AAAGAUCGCAGUCUUACACUGUUUAUAUUUAAUGUUUGAUUGUCCGUCUUAUUUAAAAAUUUAUUAUGAUUAUUAUUUUAUUAUUAUUAAAUGAUAAAACAUUAAUAGUAUUUAAUGUGUAAUUUUUUUAAUUGUUUUUUAAUUUUUUUUAGAUAAGAUGGACGGUAAAGCGUUGGACAAGAAAACCCACAACUGCACUUAAA
rfam:Oryza glaberrima chromosome 12 Oglab12_0182_10, whole genome shotgun sequence.